rnacentral:rRNA from 1 species
GGCCUAACACAUGCAAGUCGAGCGGAUGAGAAGAGCUUGCUCUUCGAUUCAGCGGCGGACGGGUGAGUAAUGCCUAGGAAUCUGCCUGGUAGUGGGGGACAACGUUUCGAAAGGAACGCUAAUACCGCAUACGUCCUACGGGAGAAAGCAGGGGACCUUCGGGCCUUGCGCUAUCAGAUGAGCCUAGGUCGGAUUAGCUAGUUGGUGAGGUAAUGGCUCACCAAGGCGACGAUCCGUAACUGGUCUGAGAGGAUGAUCAGUCACACUGGAACUGAGACACGGUCCAGACUCCUACGGGAGGCAGCAGUGGGGAAUAUUGGACAAUGGGCGAAAGCCUGAUCCAGCCAUGCCGCGUGUGUGAAGAAGGUCUUCGGAUUGUAAAGCACUUUAAGUUGGGAGGAAGGGCAUUAACCUAAUACGUUAGUGUUUUGACGUUACCGACAGAAUAAGCACCGGCUAACUCUGUGCCAGCAGCCGCGGUAAUACAGAGGGUGCAAGCGUUAAUCGGAAUUACUGGGCGUAAAGCGCGCGUAGGUGGUUUGUUAAGUUGGAUGUGAAAGCCCCGGGCUCAACCUGGGAACUGCAUCCAAAACUGGCAAGCUAGAGUACGGUAGAGGGUGGUGGAAUUUCCUGUGUAGCGGUGAAAUGCGUAGAUAUAGGAAGGAACACCAGUGGCGAAGGCGACCACCUGGACUGAUACUGACACUGAGGUGCGAAAGCGUGGGGAGCAAACAGGAUUAGAUACCNUGGUAGUCCACGCCGUAAACGAUGUCAACUAGCCGUUGGAAUCCUUGAGAUUUUAGUGGCGCAGCUAACGCAUUAAGUUGACCGCCUGGGGAGUACGGCCGCAAGGUUAAAACUCAAAUGAAUUGACGGGGGCCCGCACAAGCGGUGGACCAUGUGGUUUAAUUCGAAGCAACGCGAAGAACCUUACCAGGCCUUGACAUGCAGAGAACUUUCCAGAGAUGGAUUGGUGCCUUCGGGAACUCUGACACAGGUGCUGCAUGGCUGUCGUCAGCUCGUGUCGUGAGAUGUUGGGUUAAGUCCCGUAACGAGCGCAACCCUUGUCCUUAGUUACCAGCACGUUAUGGUGGGCACUCUAAGGAGACUGCCGGUGACAAACCGGAGGAAGGUGGGGAUGACGUCAAGUCAUCAUGGCCCUUACGGCCUGGGCUACACACGUGCUACAAUGGUCGGUACAGAGGGUUGCCAAGCCGCGAGGUGGAGCUAAUCUCACAAAACCGAUCGUAGUCCGGAUCGCAGUCUGCAACUCGACUGCGUGAAGUCGGAAUCGCUAGUAAUCGCGAAUCAGAAUGUCGCGGUGAAUACGUUCCCGGGCCUUGUACACACCGCCCGUCACACCAUGGGAGUGGGUUGCACCAGAAGUAGCUAGUCUAACCUUCGGGAGGACGGUUACC